UCUCCGUUGGUGAACCAGCGGAGGGAUCAUUACAGGACUCGCAAGACUCCUACACCCCUGUGAACUUAACUCUAGGCGCGUUGAUUCGGCGGGUGUCUCGGAGGGGGUUCUCCGUCCCCGAGAGGCUAAACCCGCCGGCAGCCCACUCUACUCUGUCUCUUUGCGUUGGCAUCUCGCGUACAAUCAAACAAGUUAAAACUUUCAACAACGGAUCUCUUGGUUCUG
rnacentral:misc_RNA from 1 species